UACAGAGGCCUCGAGCGUUAAUCGGAAUUACUGGGCGUAAAGCGUGCGCAGGCGGCUUUGCAAGACAGAUGUGAAAUCCCCGGGCUCAACCUGGGAACUGCAUUUGUGACUGCAAGGCUAGAGUACGGCAGAGGGGGAUGGAAUUCCGCGUGUAGCAGUGAAAUGCGUAGAUAUGCGGAGGAACACCGAUGGCGAAGGCAAUCCCCUGGACCUGUACUGACGCUCAUGCACGAAAGCGUGGGGAGCAAACAGG
rnacentral:rRNA from 1 species